CAGAGGGAUAGCCCAGAGAAAUUUGGAUUAAUACCUCAUAGUAUGCAGAGUUGGCAUCAACACUGCAUUAAAGUCACAACGGUAAAAGAUGAGCAUGCGUCCCAUUAGCUAGUUGGUAAGGUAACGGCUUACCAAGGCUACGAUGGGUAGGGGUCCUGAGAGGGAGAUCCCCCACACUGGUACUGAGACACGGACCAGACUCCUACGGGAGGCAGCAGUGAGGAAUAUUGGACAAUGGGCGCAAGCCUGAUCCAGCCAUGCCGCGUGCAGGAUGACGGUCCUAUGGAUUGUAAACUGCUUUUGCACAGGAAGAAACAACUCUACGUGUAGAGUCUUGACGGUACUGUGAGAAUAAGGAUCGGCUAACUCCGUGCCAGCAGCCGCGGUAAUACGGAGGAUCCAAGCGUUAUCCGGAAUCAUUGGGUUUAAAGGGUCCGUAGGCGGUUUAGUAAGUCAGUGGUGAAAGCCCAUCGCUCAACGGUGGAACGGCCAUUGAUACUGCUAGACUUGAAUUAUUAGGAAGUAACUAGAAUAUGUAGUGUAGCGGUGAAAUGCUUAGAGAUUACAUGGAAUACCAAUUGCGAAGGCAGGUUACUACUAAUGGAUUGACGCUGAUGGACGAAAGCGUGGGUAGCUAACAGGAUUAGAUACCCUGGUAGUCCACGGCCGUAAACGAUGGAUACUAGCUGUUGGGAGCGAUCUC
rnacentral:rRNA from 1 species